GUCGCAUGAGUUUGAUCCUGGCUCAGAACGAACGCUGGCGGCAGGCCUCAAACAUGCAAGUCUAGGGGGUGUAGCAAUACAUCACCGGCGGACGGGUGCGUAACACGUGGGAAUAUACCUUUUGGUUCGGAACAACGCAGGGAAACUUGCGCUAAUACCGAAUGUGCCCUUACGGGGAAAGAUUUAUCGCCAAAAGAUGAGUCCGCGUACGAUUAGCUAGUUGGUGAGGUAAUGGCUCACCAAGGCGACGAUCGUUAGCUGGUCUGAGAGGACGAUCAGCCACACUGGGACUGAGACACGGCCCAGACUCCUACGGGAGGCAGCAGUGGGGAAUAUUGGACAAUGGGGGCAACCCUGAUCCAGCCAUGCCGCGUGAGUGAUGAAGGCCUUCGGGUUGUAAAGCUCUUUUGGCGGGGACGAUGAUGACGGUACCCGCAGAAUAAGCCCCGGCUAACUACGUGCCAGCAGCCGCGGUAAUUCCCUGUGUGA
rnacentral:rRNA from 1 species